rnacentral:rRNA from 1 species
GAACGCUAGCGGCAGGCUUAACACAUGCAAGUCGAGGGGUAACAGAAGAGCUUGCUCUUGCUGACGACCGGCGCACGGGUGCGUAACGCGUAUACAAUCUACCUUAUACAGGAGGAUAGCCCGAAGAAAUUCGGAUUAAUACUCCAUAAUAUUUGUCUAUCGCAUGAUAGACUUCUUAAAGUUCCGGCGGUAUAAGAUGAGUAUGCGUGAUAUUAGCUAGUUGGUAAGGUAACGGCUUACCAAGGCAACGAUAUCUAGGGGGUCUGAGAGGACUAUCCCCCACACUGGUACUGAGACACGGACCAGACUCCUACGGGAGGCAGCAGUGAGGAAUAUUGGUCAAUGGAGGCAACUCUGAACCAGCCAUGCCGCGUGAAGGAAGAAUGCCCUAUGGGUUGUAAACUUCUUUUAUUUGGGAAGAAACCUUUCUACGUGUAGAAAGCUGACGGUACCAAACGAAUAAGGACCGGCUAACUCCGUGCCAGCAGCCGCGGUAAU